AGUAGGGAAUCUUCCGCAAUGGACGAAAGUCUGACGGAGCAACGCCGCGUGAGUGAUGAAGGUUUUCGGAUCGUAAAGCUCUGUUGCCAGGGAAGAACUGUCCGGUAGAGUAACUGCUAUCGGAGUGACGGUACCUGAGAAGAAAGCCCCGGCUAACUACGUGCCAGCAGCCGCGGUAAUACGUAGGGGGCAAGCGUUGUCCGGAAUUAUUGGGCGUAAAGCGCGCGCAGGCGGUCAUUUAAGUCUGGUGUUUAAUCCUGGGGCUCAACCCCGGGUCGCACUGGAAACUGGGUGGCUUGAGUACAGAAGAGGAGAGUGGAAUUCCACGU
rnacentral:rRNA from 1 species